ensembl:lncRNA probable beta-D-xylosidase 2
UUCCCGUGGCCUGGGAGAGCUCUGGGGCCCCGCUCUGGAGCAGGGCCAGGCUGCAGCGCGCUCCGCCCCACCAGCUGCACGCAGCGGAUGCUGGGACGGGGCUGAUCCUGUCGGGCUGAGCCGAGCCAUGCCAUGCCGAGCCACUGCCCCACGUGUCCCAACCCCGAGGGCUCCUGUCCCGAUGCAUCUCAGCACGGUGUCAGCGUGGCUCGGAGCUGUGGCGGUGCUGCUGUGCACGGUGCUGGGCCCUGGGUGGGCUGAGGCACAGCCCUUCCCUUUCCGAGACCCAACGCUGCCCUGGCACCGCCGCCUCGAGGACCUGCUGGGCCGGCUGACCCCCGCCGAGAUGGUGCUGCAGAUGGCGAGGGGGGGAGCCCUGGGGAACGGCCCCGCGCCUCCCAUCCCGCGCCUGGGCAUCGCACCCUACAACUGGAACACCGAGUGCCUGCGGGGCGACGCGGAGGCACCCGGGUGGGCCACAGCUUUCCCCCAAGCGCUGGGGCUGGCUGCUGCCUUCAGCCCUGAGCUCGUGUACCGGGUGGCCAAUGCCACCGCCACCGAAGUGCGUGCCAAGCACAACUCCUUCGCCGCCGCCGGCCGCUACGAUGACCACACGGGGCUCAGCUGCUUCAGCCCCGUGCUCAACAUCAUGAGGCACCCGCUGUGGGGCAGGAACCAGGAGACGUACGGGGAGGACCCGUACCUGACAGCGGAGCUGGCCACGAGCUUCGUGCAGGGGCUGCAGGGCCAGCACCCCCGCUACAUCAAGGCCAGCGCUGGCUGCAAGCACUUCAGUGUGCACGGGGGCCCUGAGAACAUCCCCGUCUCCAGGCUCAGCUUUGAUGCCAAGGUGCUGGAGCGGGACUGGCGCACCACCUUCCUGCCCCAGUUCCAGGCAUGCGUGCGCGCUGGGUCCUACAGCUUCAUGUGCAGCUACAACAGAAUCAACGGCGUCCCCGCCUGCGCCAACAAGAAGCUGCUGACGGACAUCCUGCGUGGAGAGUGGGGCUUCGAGGGCUACGUGGUGAGCGAUGAGGGGGCCGUGGAACUCAUCCUGCUGGGGCACCACUACACCCGCACCUUCCUGGAGACGGCCAUCGCGUCGGUGAACUCCGGCCUCAACCUGGAGUUGUCCUACGGCAUGAAGAACAAUGUCUUCAUGCACAUCCCCGAGGCCUUGGCCAUGGGCAACAUCACGCUGGAGACGCUGCGCGACCGGGUCCGGCCCCUCUUCUACACAAGGCUGCGCCUGGGGGAGUUUGACCCCCCAGCCAUGAACCCCUACAGCGCCCUGGACAUGAGCGUGGUGCAGAGCCCUGAGCACCGCAACCUCUCUCUGGAGGCGGCCAUCAAGAGCUUCGUGCUGCUGAAGAACCAGCGGGACACGCUGCCGCUCCGUGAGCUGCACGGCAAGCGCCUGGCGGUGGUGGGUCCCUUUGCAGACAACCCCCGUGUGCUGUUUGGGGACUACGCGCCGGUGCCGGAGCCGCAGUACAUCUACACCCCACGGAGGGGGCUGCAAACGCUGCCAGCCAACAUCAGCUUUGCCGCGGGCUGCCAGGAGCCACGGUGCCAGAAGUACUCGCAGGAUGAGGUGGAGGAUGCAGUACGGGGAGCCGACGUGGUGCUGGUGUGCCUGGGGACGGGGAUAGAUGUGGAGAUGGAGGCGAGAGACCGCAAGGACCUGUCCCUGCCUGGACACCAGCUGCAGCUGCUGCAGGAUGCUGUGCGUGCAGCUGCCGGGCACCCCGUCAUCCUGCUGCUGUUCAACGCGGGGCCCCUGGAUGUGAGCUGGGCGCAGGCGCAUGACGGCGUUGGGGCCAUCCUGGCCUGCUUCUUUCCUGCCCAGGCCACCGGCCUGGCCAUCGCCAGCGUCCUGCUGGGCAAGCAGGGGGCCAGCCCCGCAGGCAGGCUGCCAGCCACGUGGCCAGCAGGGAUGCACCAGGUGCCCCCAAUGGAGAAUUACACCAUGGAGGGUCGGACAUACCGCUACUACGGGCAGGAGGCCCCGCUCUACCCCUUCGGGUACGGGCUGUCCUACACCACCUUCCAGUACCGGGACCUGGUGCUGAGCCCCCCGGUGCUGCCCAUCUGCGCCAACCUCUCCGUGUCGGUGGUGCUGGAGAACACGGGGCUGCGGGACAGCGAGGAGGUGGUGCAGCUGUACCUGCGCUGGGAGCAGCCGUCUGUGCCGGUGCCGCGCUGGCAGCUGGUGGCUUUCCGCCGUGUGGCCGUACCGGCUGGUGGUGCCACUAAGCUGUCCUUUGGGGUGGUGGCUGCCCAGCGUGCCGUCUGGACGCAGCACUGGUACCUGGAGCCCGGCACCUUCACGCUCUUUGCUGGUGGGCAGCAGCCAGGACAGCAGACGCGGGCACCCUCGGAGGUGCUAAGCGCAAGGUUCAGUGUCACCGGGGCUGCCCGUGCACUGCGCAGCUGCUAGAGAUGGGGAUGAGUCCUGGGGCAUGGGGGGCUGGGGGAGGAUGAGGUGCAGCAGCUGCGCAGGACAGGGUGGGGAGCACAGUGCUCUGCCUUGCAAUAAAGUGCCCACUGCUCUCCA